rnacentral:lncRNA from 1 species
GCUCUUAUUGCUAUAGUACCCAGGUACCUUCCAGCAGCACUCUCAGCACCAGGGUUAACAUCUGCCUUGUUUUAUUUGUUUUCGCGUUCUCCCUUCUGGGGAAAAUGCAUGUGCAGUGGUGUGGGUGGUUUUCAUUAGGUUUCUCCUUAAGGGAGUGGUUUGAUAUAUAUCUAUAAUUAUUUAUUUUUUUUAUUUCUAAUGAAGAUGCAUUCUUCUGGAUUUCAGGGAGAAAAGGCAAGGUGGAAGAAAUAAGUGCAAGUGCUUGGAGUGGUACAUGGAGAUGUUUGGAGAUGUCUGGCUGGUAUUGGUUUUCUCAGACUGAUCUGCAGGAAUUGCUGACCUCACUGGGAAUGUUUGUGCCAGAGAAGCAACUGUGCAAGAGCUUUAGGCUUGGUUUCAUUCUUACCUGCAGAGGUUUCAGGCCAGCCUGUAAUGUGUGAGGUAUGACCUUCCCUCAGAUGCUAAAAGGGCGCUGUGCCUGCCUGGGUUGGGACAUCUGGCAAGGAGGAUACGAAGCCAGCAAGGCUUCCCGUUGGGGCAGUUUGGCACAUCCAGCUCCACGGACACCUGCUUUGCUGCAUUCAGGAGCUCCUGGUGGCUGGGCAGAUCCACACCGCAUCAGUGACAUCCAUCCUGUCCAGACAGACAGGCCCCUGUGACCACAGAGAGCAGAAGAGAAGUCAACUGCUGUUUGGGAGCUUUCAGAGCUGCUUGGAGCUGUAAAAUAGAGCAAGAGCUUUCUCCUCAUGUGCAAAGGCCAAGCUCCCAUUCUCACAUAUUCCCCAGGAGCUCGUAUACCAGAUGCAUUAAUUUAUGAACACAGGUGGAGCAUUGUCAUCAUUAAGAUCCAAAUCAAGCUGCCUAUCCUGUAAAGGAUGGCCCUGCCUGAAGCAAAACAGAACUGUUAAUGCAUUUUUUAUAAAUAACGCUGUUAAAAGAUGCAUGAAAGAUGUCUUGUAAAUAUUAAACUGGAAUUAUCACUUUUUUCUUAUGUCAUAAAACACAGCACAGAAAUCUUCAGGUCAAAUUCUUUCUGAUGCAAAUUAAUCCAGAUCCUUUGAUUUCAACAUUUUUUUCCCCAUUUGCUUUACU